GAGAGGUCCCACACAGCGCUUCAGACACCACAACUGACACUCCGGCCAUGCAAGGGGCUGGCGGCAGGGGAAAUACAGACAGAUAGCAGAGUGACAGCAGAGUGAGUGCUGAGGGAAAGGGCAUGACGUGCAUAAAAACGGUAGGAACAGCGAGUCCUGAGACGAGCAGACAGACAGGAAGCGAAAGAGAGGGGACAGUCGGAGGAAUGGGUAAACAGGGAGCCCUCUCUUCAGCCCCUCUUGGUAUUUGGCGAGCAGCCAGCUCCUCCAUCAACAGCACUCAGGGAAAUGGAGAGGGAGGAAAGGAAAGGAUGGGAGGGGAGACGCACAGAAGAAUACGGCGGAGGGAGAUGGCGAGGCAGAGACGUAGCUACAAGGAUACGGAGAACAGGAGAGGGACGAGUGGGAAACAGGAUGGAGGGAAGGGAAGGGAAGGGAGGAAGAAUGGAAAAUAAGGAGAAGGAGGGAGGACGGGUUUGGGUGACAGAUACUGUAGAUAGUUAAGACAGAUGGGGCAGAGGACAGGAAGGACAAAAUGGAAAAGAGGGAGAUGGUGAGAAAGAGGGGAGACAGAGACAGAUGAAGGAAACAGGAGGGAGAAAAGGGCUUCGGAGAGGGGAGUGUGGGUGUGGAGAUACAUAAUCGAGGAGAUUGAGCAGCAGGAGGGAGAGAGGAGACAGGAGCUUGCAGAGAAGGCAGUAACCAGAGUCCUAUUGAUGUGUAACAAAAUCCUGCAUCGGGGAGAGACAAACGGAAGGACAAACGGAUGGAGGGGAGAUAUGGAAGAGCAAAAAAAAAAAGGAAGAGGAAGAAUGUGGCCGCGGUAGAGUGGGUGAGGGAUGCGUGGGUGAAUGAGCAGAAGCUGGGAUGGAGAAGGGCAUAAUGUCAUUUGUUAAAUAAUGCAGGGAGCAAACGCGAGAGGCAGGAAGCGUGAUGGACACAGAGACGGACUGCUGCCAACAGCGAAAGUUAAGCUGCUGUUACAUAGCACACCACACAACAACAACAACACACAUCAGUGUGGAAAUCAGAUGAAGAACGGGCAAAGGAUGUGGAGGAGGCGACAACGAGGAUGUACAAGCUGCAUCUCCCUUCUAUCAGCGUGGACAAUGAAACAGACAGGCUAACAGCUCUGAUGAGAAAUUAAGGGGACAAUGGCAACAGGAUUUACUCAUUGCUAACAUCAGCGGCUUUCAGUAAGGUUAGCCAAACAAGAAUGGACCCAAGAGUGACAAGAAAAAAGAUGGAGGGUUUGUUUCUUUUAAUAACAGGUGGUGCCACUUUGGUCACAGUACCUUAAAGGAACUUUUCGGCACCCUCAUAUCAAACUGUUAGCUGUGGAGCUAAGUGCAUUCUCAGUAGGACAUGCCAUCUGAGUUGCUGUUUGCAUUCCUCCUUCAACUAACAUGGCAACUGUGUAUGAAAUCAUCCAUUUUAUUUGACUUUGCACACUCGUGUUUUCUUGUAUUCUUGUAUUAUAAUCUUGUCAGCUUUUAAUAACUUUAUUAUUUUUGACCAACUGUUUAGAAAGCAGCUUCCCAGUGGAUAUUAUUAAAGUAAUUAUGAAGCAGAA